AGUGAACGCUGGCGGCAGGCCUAAUACAUGCAAGUCGAACGGCAGCACAGCAGAGCUUGCUCUGUGGGUGGCGAGUGGCGGACGGGUGAGGAAUACGUGGGAAUCUGCCCAGUCGUGGGGGAUAACGUAGGGAAACUUACGCUAAUACCGCAUGCGCCCUCUGGGGGAAAGCCGGGGAUCUUCGGACCUGGCGCGAUUGGAGGAGCCCACGUCGGGUUAGCUAGUUGGAGGGGUAAAGGCCCACCAAGGCGACGAUCCGUAGCUGGUCUGAGAGGAUGAUCAGCCACACUGGAACUGAGACACGGUCCAGACUCCUACGGGAGGCAGCAGUAGGGAAUAUUGGACAAUGGGCGCAAGCCUGAUCCAGCCAUGCCGCGUGAGUGAAGAAGGCCCUCGGGUUGUAAAGCUCUUUUGUUGGGGAAGAAAAGCCUUGGGUUAAUACCCUGAGGUUCUGACGGUACCCAGAGAAUAAGCACCGGCUAACUUCGUGCCAGCAGCCGCCGUAA
rnacentral:rRNA from 1 species